GACGACAGUAAACAAGCUUUAACUAUAGCUCUGUACACACACACACACACACACAGUCAUUUUUUUCAUCUAAGGUAAGCGAUGCAGCAAUAUUUAGUUCCCAGAUUACAGACACAUUCUUUUGUCUUUCUUUUUUUUUUACUUAUUCAGUGUUUGUUGAACCAACGAGCAGCAAUUUUAGCAGCAGGCGAUGCCAGAGAUGAUGACGAUGGAGCCAGGAGACACAAUGUUUUUAGAAAACGCCAACCUACAGCACGCCCGUCGUCAUCAUGAAUUAUUCCUACGAAGUCGGCCCUACAGGGGAGAACUACCAACUGUGGCUGGACUCCUCCUCUACCCGGACACUCCUGCUAAGAUGGAAACAACAUCCAGAGAAGCUUUUUGCUUCAGGCCGCGCUCACACCAUGACAGAGGCCAAGGUCGAGGGGAAAGAAGUUCCCUGAACACACAAGACGGGCACCGCUGUUCUCAUCUCACAUCCUCAAAGCAAACAGGAAGAGGAAGCAGAGAACAGGAACCAGGAACGGCCAGACACCCAACGGCGUCUACUGAAGUGAAACAAGAGAUGAAAUCUCAGUAUCAGAAGGACUUCCCAGCUCCAUCCUCCAGCUGCAGGAGGACGACACCUGCCCUUCCACAGCCCGACAACAUCGGCAUCAACCAGGCGUUCAGGUGAGGAGGGCGUGGUCAGAGUCCAACGAUCCUGAAGCACUCACUAUAGUCUGUAUCUCACCUGAACCUCUGAUCCACAGGAUGGACUUCAACACAGUCCAAAGACAGACUUACCCCAGCUGGGCAUCAAUGAGUUCAACCAUGAACUGAGAGAAGAAUUUUUUUAAUUUUUUUUUUAAAACUAUUUUCAUUGGCCCAUAACUGCACGUGGGAAUGUAAGAAAAAUCUUAGGAUUUAAAACAAUUUUUCCACUGAUCACCACUCGUGAAUAUCGAAAAUCCUUUAUGAGGCCAUUGUAGCUUGCCUCUGUGUCUCAUAAUCAUUUAUUGUGUAUUAGUUUUUCAUUAAUAACAUAAAUAUAUACAUAUAUAAUAACCCUAGCCCUAACACUAAUCAAGAGCCCUGAGUGAACGUCACCUUACAGCAUGGUAUCAAUGGUCCACCUCCUUUCCUACUUUAAAAUCAGUCCACGACAAAGUUUUCCUCAAAAUUCUCAAAAAACGUUGACCGACCGGAAUUCUUUAUUCAUUACCUGGAAUCCCUCCAUUAGUACCAAUGUUAUGGUGUGAGAAUGUUUGGUGGGUAUUGCAUUAAAAGACCUACACCACUCUACACAGACAGAGACAGACAGACGACAAACUGGGCUGAGGGUAAUAAAAACCAUUGCAUCAGAAAAAUAUUUAUUUUU
rnacentral:lncRNA from 1 species